GAUAGAAUAAACAGUGUGCUAAUAGCAAGCAAGCGUUUCACUCGUAUCCCUCGUAACGGACUUAACACUGGCGACAGAUUACCCACGUUUACACAAAAUAAAAACGGCCGUUAAAGCAUGUCUAAUUUUGGCAUUUUAUCAACGUUUGACCACAAUGUGCAAGAUUGGAAAACGUACAAAAGUAGAAUAUCACAGUGGUUCAUCGCAAAUGAUAUCGAUGCGAAAAAUGAUACGUCGGGAAUAAAAAGGCGAGCGAUAUUGCUGAGUGCACUGGCGGAUGGCACAUUCAAGCUGGCAGCGGACUUGGCGUUGCCAAAAGAACUUCAAGAUUUACCAUAUGGACAGAUCAUCAACCUGUUGGAUGGACAUUUCACACCUAAACGAUGUGGCUUCAGCGAGCGGUACAAAUUCUACGCAGCAACGCAGCAACACGGCGAAUCGCAUCCCCAAUGGGCUGCGAGGUUACGUGGGCUAACGGCGCACUGCGGAUUUAAAGAUGUGGAAGAGGCACUCCGCGACCGAUUCGUCAUGGGGAUGGUAGCAGGUCCUGAACGCGAGAAGCUGUUCGCGCAGGACAUGGACGGGCUGUCAUUGGCGAAGGCGGUCGAGCUGGCGGAGAGCAUACACUGUGCUCGCGCAGGAGCUGCAUCAGCGUCAGCCGCUCCACUUCAAGAAACGGUUUUUAAGAUAGUGAAUAGUUCCUCGAAACCCAAGAAUAACGUUCGUUCGGAUGUGAAGUGCUUAGUGUGCGGUCGUUCAAAUCAUGAGUCAUCUCAGUGUCGAUUUGCUAAUUAUAAGUGUAGAAAAUGUAACGUGAAGGGUCACCUACGAAAAAUGUGCACGAAAGUGAAUUUUAUUUCAACGGAGGAUGUGAGUGACGAUGAUGACGUGCUCGCAGAUUAAACACUAUGGAGGAACAAACAAAUACAUUUACAAAGUUGGCGAUAAAGUUAACUAUAAAAAAUAUUCAAAUAAUAAGAAAUUUGAGUGGUGCAUCGGUACUGUGGUACGUGUUAUUGGCAGCGUUUUAUACCUAAUCCGAGACGAUCUAACAUCUGUAAUAAUGAAAAAGCAUAAAAAUCAAAUUUUACCGUAUAAGGGUGAAGAAGGUGGUAAAACUCUACAACAACAUUGGGAUUAUGAUGAUUUCUUAGUGGAAGACAACUCAUCUUUGACUCAGAACCAGCCCUUGGGCUCGAGUGAGCAAACCACCAUACCUUCAUACACCAGAGAAUCGGGCAGAUUACGCAACAUACCCAGAGUCGAUUAUAGGGCUUUCUUUUAACAUUAUUAACAGAUUGAAGUAUCAAUUGAUGUCUGUCAAUUGGGGGAGGAUUGUUAUGUAGUUAUAGCUACGUAUGUACGCAUGUAUACGGUGGCUGCGCCCACCGUCCUUUUUGAUAGAAUAAACAGU